UACGAAGGGGGCUAGCGUUGUUCGGAUUUACUGGGCGUAAAGCGCACGUAGGCGGAUUGUUAAGUCAGGGGUGAAAUCCCAGAGCUCAACUCUGGAACUGCCUUUGAUACUGGCAAUCUAGAGUCCGGAAGAGGUGAGUGGAACUCCUAGUGUAGAGGUGGAAUUCGUAGAUAUUAGGAAGAACACCAGUGGCGAAGGCGGCUCACUGGCCCGGUACUGACGCUGAGGCGCGAAAGCGUGGGGAGCAAACAGG
rnacentral:rRNA from 1 species